CGAACUGUUAUUAAAAGCCCAAACAAAAUUGAAUUUUUAUUUUAACCAUUAACUAACACCCGAAAAUUAUGGGCUAAGAAACGGACUGGAUUUUGAACAUGAUUAAAGGGUUACAUUAUUGAUUGUAUUUAAGACGCAUAGUUUUAAUUAAAGUGGCAUGAGAAAGUAAUUUUUGUGGAAAACUUAGGGCUAAGUACAAAAUGUACUUCAGUUUUAAUAGUUUAGAUGGUUUAAUAUACAGGCAGGAGGACAUCAGUGCUAUCAUUCCAGAUGUCCCGAUGGAGCCGGAAUGAUAUUGGUCCGUGCAGAUAUGGCUCCGGGAAUACCUCUUGAUCCGCAAAACAUAAAAGCUAUUGACAUCGCCAUAACCAAGGUCACGUCUUUUUGGACUCAUUAUGUUUUUAUUGUAUAGUAAAAAAGAAAAUGAUCAUGAGGCCAGAAAGAACCUGUCCUGGGCAUAACCAAAUAUAACAUAAGGCUUUGGAUCUCUAAAAAUUUCCGAGUUCAUAAAUAUAUGAAAAUAUGCCUCCGAAUUGAUUUUAAAAAAACUUUUGUAUAAUAAUCCUUACUAAAAGUUAUUAAUAACUUUUGUGAGUACAGGACCAAACCAGCGGGAACUGGGGUCUGUACGUGUCGAAUGAAGAAAUUGGGUUCUGGCCAUCGAGCAGGUUCAAAGAGAGCUCCGGGACGGGGGUAGAAUGGGGAGGUGAAGUGUACAGUCCUUUAUCAUAUAUACGUGAUAUCUCCAUUAUCGACGAAAAUUAUAAGGCAGAUAAUACUGUGAAGAACACGGAGAGUUAUACGGACGACAGUCAUGGUUAUAAAGUGAGAGACUCGACAGAAACAUGGUGGAAAGUAGGUCAUCUUGUUGUUUAUGGAGGCCCCGGUAAAAUUUAGAGACCAUAUGUUAAACAAAUGAAGAAUUUUUUACAUUGAGAGACACUUUAUCACUUUGGAAUUGCAUCCAAAGACACUUUCAACAUGUGACAACCUUUUUUGAUAGUGAAUGUCAUUUAUGCCCUCUUCCAAUAGAAAACCCAGAAACUAAACCAAUCCAUCAAACCGGUCAAACAUCUUUUUCAAUUUACUUUUUGAACCAAACUCAUUUUAAAUCAGUUUCUCAAUCCCAAUUAUUUACGAUAGUAGCAGCUUCUCUCUAAACAAUUCUCACGGUGAUUUUUAAAAUUCCUAGAUCUCUCCCACUAAUACUCAAAAUCCUAGAUUCUCUUUCACUAAUUUUUUUCCCUUCUGAUUUUACCUCCGUAACACACCUCUGUUCUCAACCUUCUGAAUCACAUCGUCAUUGUCAUAUCUUAAUCUCGUAUAAAAGAACAAAAGAUAUAUUUUUCUUCUCUUCAAACCAAUCCCUUAAACACUGAUGUCUAAUAACCCUAGAUUUUCUGAAAUCCUCCAAUCUUCUAAAUUCUUUGAAUCUCUGAAACACACCAACUUCAUCUUCCUCUACAAAUAAACCAAUUUUCUCAUUUUGUCUAAUCACCAAAUUUUAAUCCCACUCCAGUUUGCUUCAGUUUCAAGAUAUGUGAAUGUUAUUGUGGAUUUCAAAACCCAGAUCUACGAAACUUCAAUUUUAAUUUUGAUGGGUAAAGUGUGGACUCGGAAGGGGUAGACGGGUGGUGUGUGGAUGGGCGGUGCGUGGAUACUGGAGCGUGGAUGGGCAUUGUGUGGAUAUUGGAGCGUGGAUGGGUUGUGUGUGGAUGGUUAAUAAGGGGACGAGUGAUGUGUAUGGACAAAGCAAUCAUGGUAUUGGUCCACUUAAUUUAGUUUUAAAUUUUAUAAAAAAAUUAAAAUAUAAAUGAGUAUAAAUUACAAUUUCCACAACACAUUGUCCACAGUAUUGUGUUCACAUAACUCAAUUUUAAAUUUUACAAAAAUUAAAAUAUUAAAAUAAAUAUAUACAUAUAUAUCGAUCUCAAAACAUAGAAGAAAAAAAAUUAUAAUUUAUUGUAUAUAUUAUAUAUUACAUUUAGUUACCACAAUACAAAAUAAUAACAAAUAAAAUCUGUUGAAGAA